UACGUAGGGGGCAAGCGUUGUCCGGAAUCAUUGGGCGUAAAGAGCGUGUAGGCGGCUCGAUAAGUCUGCUGUGAAAGUCCAGGGCUCAACCCUGGAAGGCCGGUGGAAACUGUCGGGCUAGAGUCCGGAAGAGGCGAGUGGAAUUCCCGGUGUAGCGGUGAAAUGCGCAGAUAUCGGGAGGAACACCAAUGGCGAAGGCAGCUCGCUGGGACGGUACUGACGCUGAGACGCGAAAGCGCGGGGAGCAAACAGG
rnacentral:rRNA from 1 species